rnacentral:lncRNA from 1 species
GAAAAUAACAAAAAGAAUUAUAAAUUGGACCAAGUUUAUCAUUAAAAUUAUGACUAUCUGAAUGAUUUGGCAUGUUACAAUUGUUAAUGUGAAACUGUGACUUUCGAAGUGCCCACUCUCGCUACUGCUAAGUCAUUUGCUUGCUUUCUAAAUUGGUACUAGCUUGUUAUUUCUGCGUCCUUCCAACCCACUAUUUGUUUUCUGUUUUUUUUUUCGUUUAUUUCUUCGGGACUACUACUUAACUCUAUCCAGUUAACCGUUAAUCACAUAAAAUCAUAAUU